rnacentral:lncRNA from 1 species
GUUAGCGUCGCGCAAACAUACUUUGCGUGACGAAAUGUGCUGCGUCGCGCAAGUUUCCGUCGCGCAAACAUGUUUUUGUACUAGUGGUGGUGCUGGUUAAGCCUCACAAUGAGUUCGUAAUAAUAUGGUCCAACUUUAUUUUUUACGAGAAUCGAACAUAACUCUUCUCACUUACAAGUGAAAAGAAAUACUAUUAAGUCGUAGGCACAUGUCUAGUUCAAAAGACGAUCGUUUGAGGUUUUAUCGUAAAACGCAUUGAUACUCAACUUUUGAUCUAACAAACAACAUCAUGAUCUUACUUCUUAAAGUUAUAUAGUUUCCUUCAACAAAUCCAAAAUAUUCCUAUGUAAAUUGCCUGUCAAUAAUAGAUCAAGCUCGGUCUACAUCAGAAUACCUCAACGAACAAACAUCGUCUCAUAGAGGAACAUGUUUUGAAAACAUCUGUCUUUCUCCAUACAAGAGUUCAAGGUUUAAAUGUGAUAGGAAAUCAAUAAAAAAAUGAGUUAGGAAAUAAUAUACAACAAAGAUUAAGGAGCCAAUGAAGACUUUUUUUUUGAAUACUUUGGAUGCGAUCCCUAAUUCUUAACAUUCUUUGACUAAAACCUUAAUAGUAUUCAAAGUUUGAUCAAAGUCCCUUGACUUUGUACACCUCAUUAUAUUACAAUUAAUAUUUAUAUUUUUAUAGUUUUGACAUUAAUUGUUUGAUAUUUUAUGAGAUUUAUCAUCCUAUAAAUUUAAAAUCCCCCAUUAUAAUACUAUUAGAAACGGUUACAAUAAAAAA